UUUCUCUAUAGAACCCUGGGUUAGCUAAGCAUAGUGGUGCAUGCCUGUGAUCCUAUCUACUUGGGAGGCCGAGGCAGGAGGAU
rnacentral:miRNA from 1 species